GCAGCCGUAGUGUAGCGGUAGCAUCCGACCUUCCCAAGGUCGUAGCCCGAGUUCGAAUCCCGGCGGCUGCA
rnacentral:tRNA from 1 species